GUAGGGGGCAAGCGUUAUCCGGAUUUACUGGGUGUAAAGGGAGCGCAGACGGCACUGCAAGUCUGAAGUGAAAGCCCGGGGCUCAACCCCGGGACUGCUUUGGAAACUGUAGAGCUAGAGUGCUGGAGAGGCAAGCGGAAUUCCUAGUGUAGCGGUGAAAUGCGUAGAUAUUAGGAAGAACACCAGUGGCGAAGGCGGCUUGCUGGACAGUAACUGACGUUCAGGCUCGAAAGCGUGGGGAGCAAACAGGAUUAGAUACCCUGGUAGUCCACGCUGUAAACGAUGAAUACUAGGUG
rnacentral:rRNA from 1 species